rnacentral:rRNA from 1 species
CGUAGGUGGCAAGCGUUGUCCGGAUUUAUUGGGCGUAAAGCGCUCGCAGGUGGUUCGUUGCGUCGUGCGUGAAAGACCCCGGCUCAACUGGGGAGCGUCGUGCGAUACGGGCGGACUGGAGGCCAGUAGGGGGAUGCGGAAUUCCGGGUGUAGUGGUGGAAUGCGUAGAGAUCCGGAGGAACACCAGCGGCGAAGGCGGCAUCCUGGACUGGUCCUGACACUCAUGAGCCGAAAGCGUGGGGGAGCGAUCCGGAUUAGAUACCCGGGUAGUCCACGCUGUAAACGAUGCGCACUAGGUGUCGGGGGUAUCGACCCCCUCGGUGCCGCAGCUAACGCGAUAAGUGCGCCGCCUGGGGACUACGGCCGCAAGGCUA